rnacentral:rRNA from 2 species
GAUGAACGCUGGCGGCGCGCCUAACACAUGCAAGUCGAACGGUUAAAGCAUCUUCGGAUGUGUAUAAAGUGGCGAACGGCUGAGUAACACGUGGGCAACCUGCCCUUUGCACUGGGAUAGCCUCGGGAAACCGAGGUUAAUACCGGAUACUCCAUAUUUGUCGCAUGGCGAAUAUGGGAAAGCUCCGGCGGCAAAGGAUGGGCCCGCGGCCUGUUAGCUAGUUGGUGGGGUAGUGGCCUACCAAGGCAAUGAUGGGUAGCCGGGUUGAGAGACCGACCGGCCAGAUUGGGGCUGAGACACGGCCCAGACUCCUACGGGAGGCAGCAGUGGGGAAUCUUGCACAAUGGGCGAAAGCCUGAUGCAGCGACGCCGCGUGCGGGAUGAAGGCCUUCGGGUUGUAAACCGCUUUCAGCAGGGACGAGGCCGCAAGGUGACGGUACCUGCAGAAGA